rnacentral:rRNA from 1 species
GGUCUGACGCCUGCCCGGUGCUGGAAGGUUAAGAGGAGGGGGUGCAAGCUCUGAAUCGAAGCCCCAGUAAACGGCGGCCGUAACAAUAACGGUCCUAAGGUAGCGAAAUUCCUUGUCGGGUAAGUUCCGACCUGCACGAAUGGCGUAACGACUUCCCCGCUGUCUCCAGCAUAGACUCAGUGAAAUUGAAUUCCCCGUGAAGAUGCGGGGUUCCUGCGGUUAGACGGAAAGACCCCGUGCACCUUUACUAUAGCUUUACAUUGGCAUUCGUAGUGGCAUGUGUAGGAUAGGUGGUAGGCUUUGAAGCCAGGGCGCCAGCCUUGGUGGAGCCACCCUUGAAAUACCACCCUUAUCUCUAUGGAUGUCUAACCGCGGCCCGUUAUCCGGGUCCGGGACAAUGUAUGGUGGGUAGUUUGACUGGG